rnacentral:rRNA from 1 species
AUACGUAUGGUGCGAGCGUUGUCCGGAAUUACUGGGCGUAAAGAGCUCGUAGGUGGUUUGUCGCGUCGUCUGUGAAAUUCCGGGGCUUAACUCCGGGCGUGCAGGCGAUACGGGCAUAACUUGAGUACUGUAGGGGAGACUGGAAUUCCUGGUGUAGCGGUGAAAUGCGCAGAUAUCAGGAGGAACACCGGUGGCGAAGGCGGGUCUCUGGGCAGUAACUGACGCUGAGGAGCGAAAGCAUGGGUAGCGAACAGGAUUAGAUACCCUGGUAGUCCAUGCCGUAAACGGUGGGCGCUAGGUGUAGGGGUCUUCCACGACUUCUGUGCCGUAGCUAACGCAUUAAGCGCCCCGCCUGGGGAGUACGGCCGCAAGGCUAAAACUCAAAUGAAUUGACGGGG